rnacentral:rRNA from 1 species
AUUGAACGCUGGCGGCAUGCCUUACACAUGCCAGUCGAACGGCAGCACGGGUGCUUGCACCUGGUGGCGAGUGGCGAACGGGUGAGUAAUACAUCGGAACAUGUCCUGUAGUGGGGGAUAGCCCGGCGAAAGCCGGAUUAAUACCGCAUACGAUCUACGGAUGAAAGCGGGGGACCUUCGGGCCUCGCGCUAUCGGGUUGGCCGAUGGCUGAUUAGCUAGUUGGUGGGGUAAAGGCCUACCAAGGCGACGAUCAGUAGCUGGUCUGAGAGGACGACCAGCCACACUGGGACUGAGACACGGCCCAGACUCCUACGGGAGGCAGCAGUGGGGAAUUUUGGACAAUGGGCGAAAGCCUGAUCCAGCAAUGCCGCGUGUGUGAAGAAGGCCUUCGGGUUGUAAAGCACUUUUGUCCGGAAAGAAAUCCUUGGCCCUAAUACGGUCGGGGGAUGACGGUACCGGAAGAAUAAGCACCGGCUAACUACGUG